UACGGAGGGAGCUAGCGUUGUUCGGAAUUACUGGGCGUAAAGCGCACGUAGGCGGCUUUGUAAGUUAGAGGUGAAAGCCCGGGGCUCAACCCCGGAAUUGCCUUUAAGACUGCAUCGCUUGAAUCCGGGAGAGGUGAGUGGAAUUCCGAGUGUAGAGGUGAAAUUCGUAGAGAUCCGGAAGAACACCGACGGCGAAGGCAGCGUCCUGGCCGAGCACUGACGCUCAGGCACGAAAGCGCGGGGAGCGAACAGG
rnacentral:rRNA from 1 species